UACGUAGGUGGCGAGCGUUGUCCGGAUUUACUGGGCGUAAAGGAUGCGUAGGUGGAAAUUUAAGUGGGAUGUGAAAUCCCCGGGCUCAACCCGGGAACUGCAUUCCAAACUGGAUUUCUUGAGUACAGGAGAGGAAAGCGGAAUUCCUAGUGUAGCGGUGAAAUGCGUAGAUAUUAGGAGGAACACCAGUGGCGAAGGCGGCUUUCUGGACUGUAACUGACACUGAGGCAUGAAAGCGUGGGUAGCAAACAGGAUUAGAUACCCUGGUAGUCCCUGA
rnacentral:rRNA from 1 species